rnacentral:rRNA from 1 species
GGAAUCUUGCACAAUGGGGGAAACCCUGAUGCAGCGACGCCGCGUGGAGGAUGAAGGAUCUAGGUCUGUAAACUCCUUUUUCAGGGAAAGACUUAGGACGGUACCCUGAGAAUAAGCUCCGGCUAACUACGUGCCAGCAGCCGCGGUAAGACGUAGGGAGCAAGCGUUGUCCGGAUUUACUGGGCGUAAAGAGCGCGUAGGCGGACUGUUAAGUGAGAAGUGAAAUCUCCAGGGCUCAACCCGGAAACUGCUUUUCAUACUGGCAGACUUGAGGAUGGUAGAGGUUUGUGGAAUUCCUGGUGUAGCGGUGAAAUGCGUUGAUAUCAGGAGGAACACCCAUGGCGAAGGCAGCAAACUGGACCAUAUCUGACGCUGAGGCGCGAAAGCGUGGGUAGCAAACA